CUGAGACUCUGGGUCGGCAGGGGUUUCCGGUGUGCUUGCAUUCAACCGUGUCCCCUCCCUCCUGGCCCUUCAG
rnacentral:pre_miRNA from 1 species